rnacentral:rRNA from 1 species
GAGAACAAAUAUGAAUUGCGGGCUGGAUCUCUCGGGGUUCAGCCUUGCUGAAUUAUUCACCCUUGUCUUUUGCGUACUUCUUGUUUCCUUGGUGGGUUCGCCCACCACUAGGACAAACAUAAACCUUUUGUAAUUGCAAUCAGCGUCAGUAACAAAUUAAUAAUUACAACUUUCAACAACGGAUCUCUUGGUUCUGGCAUCGAUGAAGAACGCAGCGAAAUGCGAUAAGUAGUGUGAAUUGCAGAAUUCAGUGAAUCAUCCAAUCUUUGAACGCACAUUGCGCCCUUUGGUAUUCCAAAGGGCAUGCCUGUUCGAGCGUCAUUUGUACCCUCAAGCUUUGCUUGGUGUUGGGCGUCUUGUCUCUAGCUUUGCUGGAGACUCGCCUUAAAGUAAUUGGCAGCCGGCCUACUGGUUUCGGAGCGCAGCACAAGUCGCACUCUCUAUCAGCCAAGGUCUAGCAUCCAUUAAGCCUCUUUUCAACUUUUGACCUCGGAUCAGGUAGGGAUACCCGCUGAACUUAAGCAUAUCAAUAAGCGGAGGAAAAA